rnacentral:rRNA from 1 species
UACGAAGGGGGCUAGCGUUGUUCGGAUUUACUGGGCGUAAAGCGCACGUAGGCGGAUCGUUAAGUCGGGGGUGAAAUCCUGGAGCUCAACUCCAGAACUGCCUUCGAUACUGGCGAUCUCGAAUCCGGAAGAGGUGAGUGGAACUCCUAGUGUAGAGGUGGAAUUCGUAGAUAUUAGGAAGAACACCAGUGGCGAAGGCGACUCACUGGUCCGAUACUGACGCUGAGGUGCGAAAGCGUGGGGAGCAAACAGG